CCCGGUACCGCGGCCGCGGAGCUCCCCGCCGCCCCCCCCCCCCCCCCCCCCCCCAUCCCGGGCUGGGUUGCGGUCUCGGGGCUCGGUGACCCGGGUCUGCCCGCUGCCCGGUGCGCUCCGCCCCAGGAUCCUGGCGGCCUGUCCGCGGCGGGGGGGGGGUCCCGACCCCUCCUGGGGUCCUGCAGGCACACCGCGGGGAUGGAGCGACAACCGGGGGAACGCCGGCCCCGGGUCUGCUGGGGAACGCCGGCCUGCAGGAAGCCCCAGCGAUGGACAAAAAAAAAAACAACCCAAAAACCAAGGAUGAGGGAGGGAUACCACGGGUGAGAAAAAAAGCAACGCAGCACGCCUCGCUUCUUGCAGCGUCCCGCUAGGAAACAAACCCCCGGUCAAACCGUCUUCCCCACGACCACGCUGGUGCCGGAGUCGUCUGCUUUUGCCACCUUCAUUCCCGCUCCCUGAACGGGAGCGCGUGGACCGCGGCUCCGUGACGAGCGGGAACGAAGCCCUCGCACACCUUGGUGUGCCUGCGCCGUGCCAGGUGCACCAGGAUGAGUUGACGAAGAAGACGUCGUAUUUUUGGUGAUGUGGUAACUUUGCAGACCAGCCGAGGAAAGGGAUUGCUCUCGGGCAGGGCUGCCCGGGGGAAAGCAGAGAGCUGGCUGAGGAAGAAGGAGUGGUCACUUGGGUGCAAAGAACCUGAGCAACUCCGAGGCCGAUUGCCCUCAGAGGGGGUCGGGGUGGACUUGGACAUAACUGCGAACUGUCAACCUGCUGAGGACAGGACUGAGACUGGGAGCGACCAAGUUGUGGGGUUUGAUGGACGCCCUGGAAAAUUUGAGCCUCCUGUCCGACGUACCUGCCAAAUUUAAACAGUUUAACCAGAUCUUUCAGUCUCAAGCAGUGGCUGCUUUGGAGAAGGCGGAGGAUUUGGCAUGUCGUGUUUCAAGGGCAGCUCAGAGGAGAAGGGAUGCUCUGGGUCAGCAAUGAAUUCGGCAGAGCUGCUCGAUCCCAGCGGCCGUUAACCCGAGCUGGCCUGCGCCGUGCCGUGCUGCCGGGUCCUCCGGCUGCGCGGUGCUGGGCACGUCCCUUGGCUGCUGACGGCAGCGGAGGAGCCUGCAGGCAGCUCCUAUGUGGUCCUGGCAAUUACACCACCUGCCUGGCCUUGCUUUUACCCAAGAGUGCAGCAAGGAGUUCUCGUGCGAAACUCCUUUCUGUCUGAUAGUACAAGUGAUGAACAGGGCUGUUUUCUUCUAAGAAAAUCCCGUAACAGCUCAAACGACCAAAGUGGGGUGCCCCUUUCACGGACGGGACCUGCCAGGUGUGCUGCACUGCGUGCUGGUUGGAAGCCUGUUCGGUGCUGCACAGCUUGCGGGUCCCAGCAUCUAAAGGGACCCAAGACUAUCUAUGUUAUCCUCUCUUUAUGAUGUUAGCUCUAAUAAUUGGCAUUUUCGGUGAUACUUCACGAAGUCUCAAUGCGUUCCUUAUUGGUAUUGUAAUGAACCAGCACCUCCCGGUGCAAAACAGCUGCCUCUUCCCUGACUUGCUAAUACAGGAGUUUUCCUCAUUACUCUGAGCUGGCAAGGAGGCAAGUGGUCAUGUUCCUUUGUUUUGCUGUCUUUGAAUUUUAGAAUGAACUUCUUCCACCCUGGAGGUACGCAACAAGCAUUGCAGAUUUUCAAGAAUAUGCAAUUGUAUGAGGAUGUACCUGACAUGGGAAUGUUCAGUUAAACCCCACUUCCUAUUUUUCAUCUAUAAAUGGUUUUGGGUAUCAUAGUUUCAUAAAAAUAAACAUUCUGUAAGCUGAACUGCUGCAGUGGCCUGCUUUACCUGCUGCUCUGAUGGCGGCAGUUGAAAGAUUUUCCUAUGCAGCUUACUAAAGAUGAAUAAAAAUGGAUGCAAAUAGAAGCUUUUAAAGGAGCUGAGUCAACAUCUGAGGUAAAAGUUCCCUCUGUGUAAAAGCAUGUUUCAGAAACAAAAUCCAAAGGAUUGAUAGAAAUUCUCAGUGACGCCCUGGUACUCAGCUGGAGUGUGCUGGAAAGCUUAACAUGCUUUCUUUGUAUUGUGUUUUGAUUUCUUGCUCAAAUACUCACAAUGGAUAGGAAGAGCAAGCAGUUUUCACUUAGACAACAGCUAAUUCUUUAACGCACUGUGGACUUUAAAAUAACUAUCUUUUUCUCUGGAAAGCAAACCUCUGUAGAAAAGUGCAAAUUUAGUUUUCAGAUAUUCUGUCAUGAUGAUGAGUAAUUCUCUGCUUACAGCUUUUGGUUAAAUUACUUCCAUGGAAAUCUCAGUGGUUUUAGCAAGAACUGCUCUUCUUCACUUGAUGCGAUGCGGGAGGGGAUUGGUUUUUGCUCACUGGCCCUGGCCCGGCUCACACAGUCAGACCGUGCUGCGUGGAGCAGAGCUUCCUAGCAGGCGUCUCUUCUGUGAUUAGGAAUGUGAUGACAGCAAACGCCUUUGAAGAUACAGGCACAGUUUGGAAGCGGAGACCCCGGAGACCAGCAAGGAUAACUCACCAGUGGGCAGUUACCAGUCAUUGGAAAAGCACAACCUCGAGAGCUGGGAAAAGCCUGCUCUGGCUUUAGGGAAGAGGCAACAGCCAAGCAGGGCAAGAAACAGGUCAAGCAGCUGCAUGGCGCUGUGGAAGCAGCCCCUCUGCCUUGCCAGCACCCUGCAGCACCCACCGUCCACAGUCUGUGCACGGACACGGUCCCGCGCUGCUGGGAGGGGGAAGAUGCCCAGCUUGGCUCCCAGCUUGGCUCCCAGCUUGGCUCCCAGCUCGGCUCCCAGCUCGCCACUGGGAAGAGCCUGCUCACUUCUCUCUCUGCGAGCGCCAACUGCCAGCACCAGCCCCGCUGCCUCCUCCUGCGCUCGUGGCAUACGUGGGACGAGACUGUGGAAGACCGCCUCGAAUAUGUAGUAGUUCAGCGCAAGCUGCAGGCACGAAGGGUGGUGUUAACGAGUGUGUGCUCCUAAGGACCGUCAGUCUCGUUUUGAAGCUCAAACUGGCCUGAUUUAUCGUUCUUCCGAACGCCCUCAUCAUCGCAGCGAUCUCCCAGUUCCCUCGUGCGCAUACCCGUACGUGCGUUCAGCGGCAGCACUGCUCCUCUUGCUUGUGCGAAGGCCGUCCGACUGCACAGCACCAGGUGGCUGUUGCCCCGGGGGGAUGCUCCUUCCCGACCCUCUCCCGCGCCAGGGAUUCCUCCGUGCUGGGGACUGCCGAAUCCAGCAGCCCAGCAGAGGAGAGGCUGCUGCUGCGCUGUGACCCCAGGACCAGCCAGGAGCGGGGCUGAGCGCUUUUUCCAGCGGGCACACGAGGAAACGCAAGCACACACAGCACGUAGACAUAGAUGUGUGCACGCAGCCGGCGCCGCAGAUCAACCAGGGAGAGGAACCGUAGCACUCACGCAGACGCAAGCAGCACCAGUGGCCUCGUCUGGUUCCCCUCUCUGGCUGCUCAAGAGGCAGGUCCGUUGGUGGAAAACAUGCACGUAUGCAUAUGUGCAUGUGUGUGUGUGUGCAGGUACAUAUAUGUAUAUAUGGUUGUAUAUCUAUGGUUGGGCUCGAUGAUCUUGAAGGUCUUUUCCAACCUAAAUGAUUCUAUGAUUCUAUAUACGUAGCCCAUGCAGGUCCCACCAGUAGCUGGCCUUAGCCAGCCUGCCCGCUGCGGCUGCCCCGGUGUCCCCAGCUGCCGUGCACAGACACGUGUGCACCCAGCAGGUCCAGCCUUGCUGUCUCUCAUUCGUGAGCUCUUAGAAGGUCCGAUCUCUCCAGAUUCCGCCUCUCCGACACCGGGCUCCCAAGCCUCCUGUCCUACUUGCUGGCCGGCGCAGCUUCACGUUUGGCAGCGAUUGCCCUCCCCGGCGCACGCCCGCGUAGCGGGGACGCGCCGCGUGUCUCCAGGUGCUGGCCGCCGCACGUGGGUCCGGCUCCUCUGGCCACCUCUAAGACAUCCAUACAAAGAUGUACACGCAGCGUAGAGAGCCCCCCCCCAUCCGGGAAAACAGUUGGAUGUCCCGUUUAAUAUUGCCAAACAAGCUCAUACUGGAGUCUGCAGAGCGUACGUCUGCUUUCAUGAGCGUGACGGGCCUGAUGAGCUACAGCGGGUAGCAGCGGGGGAGUCGUGCAGGGCGUCCGAGAAGCGGGAGAGGUGAGCAGGAACGAGCGAGCGGAUGCGGGGAGCUGUGGGAGACCUUCAGCUGGAUCUGCUGCUGCGGGAACGGCCGUGUGGCCGGUCACCCUGGAGCCAUGGAGCGGUUCCUCCAUCCUGCCCCGGGACGGGCACCUGCACAGCUCCCUUGGGGCCGGCAGCGCUGCUGACCCCGCAGGGCGGCUCGCCUGUGCAGGCAGACACGUGCGCGCUGGUGCGUCCGCUGAGCCCAGAGCUUUCAUUUUUCAUUUCAUUUUUUGCAGGCCUUUCAGACUUCAGGGGUUUCCUUAAUGCACUGCUAGUACUCUAUUUGCAACAUUACUGGCAUGUAAUUACAACCUGCAUUUUGCCUCUGGGAACGUUAGCACAGGCAUGUACGUGUUGGCUGCAAAAGUGCCUCUUGAAGGGCAAAAUGAUCUGAUUCUCUGAUCCUCUAGGCUUUGGGUCAAGAAAGAAGCGAACAAAAACCGACCCACAAGUAUGAAGGUUUUACACUCUAGCAGAAAGCAAGCAGAGCCUGGCAAGAGUCAGGAACACAGCCGUGACACCUGAUGCUUGCAACAGGUACUUUUCUCUGAUCUAAUCAUGAUACAUUUCAAAACAAACGUUUUUACUGCCUCCGGAUAUUACAAAACCUUCUCAAAGGUAUCAGAUAAUUAGUUGUUGUAAAACAUAUGCUGCUAAUAUGAUUAAAGGAUGAGCUGAAA